rnacentral:misc_RNA from 1 species
AUCAAUAAUGUCAUAUAUCAGACUCGCAUAUAACAAUAGGAAGAAAAUAUAAGAAGACCAGUUAGCUGAAAAAGUAUGGAAAUUAAAAUAAUAAUGGACAUUCAUUUCCAAAAUAUUUAAGAACGUAGUAGUAUUAUUAUAUAACAGGGAACCCAGCACACAACAACAAUGAACAUAAUAGACAUUGGUCGCUAAGUUUGCCUCCUAAUUUGAAGAAUCUGGUCAGUGGACCUACCACAGCAACAAUUCUCUUACCCAUAGGAGAGAAGACCAUAGAAGGGAUUUGUUAUCGCAGACCUUAUUUCAGACCCCGCUGAGUUUAAUAGUGCCACGUCCACUUUGUCAUGAGGAAGGAAUAAAUAUUUGCCCCCUUCAAUUCUCUCAAAUCCACAAAGUUCAAGAAACUCAAUACCUCCUUUCAAUCUUCCAACUCUAUCCUGGAAUAAUGGAUUACUGAUUCGGAUCUUCCUGAAUUUUUCCACAUCAGGAUUCUUUGCAACAUUCCCCACAUAAAUCAAAAGGGUUUGAAAGGCCCUUUUGACUGCAGCAUCAUCAUCCUUGUGAUUGCGCCUGAGAGACCUUAAACAUUCUCUUAAUUGCUCAGCCCUUGUAGCAGAAAGAGAAAAGUUCUUUUUUUCCUGCACAACAUCUCUGGAAGGAUUUAUAGCCUCAUGUCUAACAGAUGGUGGCAAUCCAAGCAUUCUUCUUCUUUCCGCCUUGUCAGCUUCUAGUUUCUGACGAACUUUCUCCCUUGCCCUUUUCUCUUCCUCUUUUUCUGCUUUCCUCAAUGCUAAAUAACGUUUUCUUUCAUUCUCUUCAGCAGUUCUCUUUGCCUCAAGGAUUUCCUUACCAGCUCGAAUCCUUUCCUUCUCCUUUUCCCUUUCUAGUUUCUUUUCUUCUUCUUCAUUCCUCUUGCGAGCUUGAUCCCUUAACUCUUGCACCUUAUUCUGUAUUUCCUCUGUAGUUUGACAUGGUUGAGGAGACUCAAUAUCUAUGUUCACUGCUAUCAAGGGCACUUGAUCAAUAUCUGGGUCAUCCUCAUGAUCAACAAUCCAAUUUAUGGCAUCCUCAAGGCUAGCAUUGCCUGAAUAAUGAAGUGCGCGUGCUGCUCGACCAAUUGUGAAUCCCAUGUCUUCAAGUUCCCGAAGCAGUCGUUUGUUUACUUCCAAUACAUCAGUUUCCUGUUGUUGGGGCUGCAUUGCCAUUGCAAGCAGAUUGAGAGGGUUGGAAUGGAUUGGAUUGACAAGACGAAACCGAAAAGAGAAGAGAGGUAUAAAUGGUGCAGCGGGAUAAUGCAGGAACAUGAAAGAAGCCCUGAAAUGUACGCCACUUCAGAUUCAGAGACCGCACUUGCCAUUUUCUUAUUCUUUGCGGAUCUCUCUUUCCCUGUUUCUUUUUGUACCUUUUGGCUUUCGUUUGGUUACUUCCCUCCCACGAAUAGAACUCGG